CCAUUGAUACUUUUGUUGUUGGUCAUCUCACCAUCCAAAUUUCAUCCAUUAAAGCCAUUUGGUUAGAUGACCAUCAACGAACGUUUCCAUGG
rnacentral:precursor_RNA from 1 species